rnacentral:rRNA from 1 species
UUGAACGCUGGCGGCAUGCCUUACACAUGCAAGUCGAACGGUAACAGGUCUUCGGAUGCUGACGAGUGGCGAACGGGUGAGUAAUACAUCGGAACGUGCCCGAUCGUGGGGGAUAACGCAGCGAAAGCUGUGCUAAUACCGCAUACGAUCUACGGAUGAAAGCAGGGGACCGCAAGGCCUUGCGCGGACGGAGCGGCCGAUGGCAGAUUAGGUAGUUGGUGGGGUAAAGGCCUACCAAGGCGACGAUCCGUAGCUGGUCUGAGAGGAUGAUCAGCCACACUGGGACUGAGACACGGCCCAGACUCCUACGGGAGGCAGCAGUGGGGAAUUUUGGACAAUGGGCGCAAGCCUGAUCCAGCCAUGCCGCGUGAGUGAAGAAGGCCUUCGGGUUGUAAAGCUCUUUCAGGAGGGAAGAAACGGUUGCGGCUAAUAUCUGCGACUAAUGACGGUACCUUCAGAAGAAGCAUUGGCUAACUAUGU